rnacentral:tRNA from 1 species
CAGAUAAGAAGUGUAAUUUGCACAGCUGAUUUUCAUUCAGUUAGUAUGCUAAAGCAUCUAUCUGA